GCGAGAGUGACGAAGAAAAUCGAUUGGAUUCCCAUUUAUUUUUACGUGAAAGAUGAGAUCUUAAACAACUACUUCUGACUCGU
rfam:Zea mays cultivar B73 chromosome 4, whole genome shotgun sequence.